UCCCUGAUAGUCCAGCGGCUAAGACUCCACGCUCCCAAUGCAGGGGGCCUGGGUUCAACCCCUGGUCAGGGAA
rnacentral:tRNA from 1 species